rnacentral:lncRNA from 1 species
AUGUGCAAAUACUACACAUACCAGGUAAACUGCGAAAUUUCAACCAGGCUUCUAUUUGUUUUGCUCCCCAGCUUUUCCAGCCAGAAACUGAAAAGGAAAGUUCCGUGCGCCCUCUUGUGGGCAGAUGUAGCGCUGCAGGGCCUCGCCCACCCACCCCUGCCCGUGGGAGGAGCCGAAGGAGACGGACCGGGCACCGCCGCCCUCGCGACCCACGUUCUAGCGGAGGCAGACGGGAAAAGAAGCAGACAGAUGGACAAGAGAGCAGCAGGCUCAUGGGGGCGGACGUGCACCGGGCAGCUCGAGACUCCUCUGGCCUCGGGGACCUGGUUUCAGGAGCAAGCUUCAGAGGCCUUGCGGAAGUUGAGGAAAGCAAUAGGGUAAGAAAGAUGACGGUGACGAAAGUGAGGGCGCUCCUGACAGUCAUGGGGCUUCCUCCACGUGCUAACCCCUCACCGCGCCUCUGAGACCCACACAGCAAUGCCGUAGGGUGAUGUCACCGCUUCACAAAUGAGGAAACCGGGGUUAGCGAGGUGAAGCAACUCAACCGUUGGUAAGGGUAAGUUGGUUAGUAAUCCCGUUAGAUCUAGGAUUUGAGCCUGGGGAUGACCAUUCCAGAGGCUGAUUUCAUACUCACUGCCCUAUACCGGCGGGAAUAGCGGUCCUCACUGCCACCCAGGAAUAACCAUCCAGAAAUAAUGUGGCCUCCCCUCACUAUCCCACUGUAAAUUAGACCUCACCCCAACCUUCAUUGACGUGGUUCCUCCUGCCGACCGGGCAAGGGUUACAGGAUCCCCACAAUAAUCAGUGACUGCCACCUAGUGGCGCCGUGUGGAAUGCCACCUUUCUUUUCUCUCCCUUCUUCACCUGAUCCGGGGCUUCAACCACCAAAACCCAAAAUGCGAAAAGCUUGCUCCUUGCUCCUCUUUGGUUCAGCAUCCGGAAUAAGAACUACAGGUAGGUGUUAUUCCCAUUUGCUGAAAGGCGAGAUGGAGACCCAGGGGAGUUAAGCAGCUUCUUCAUGGUCACAUAAUGAGGAUUGCAUAGAAGUUAAGGGUCAAAAUCCUGAUCAUCAUUUACUCAGUGUGACCUCGAGGGGGACGUUUUAUUAUUUGGUUUUGGUGGACGGCCAACCAUCUCUGCCACAAUAACGAUUUUUUUCUUGGCUUUAUUUAAUAAAAAGUUCCUCCUUUGCCCGUUUAUCUCCCA